CUAAGACAAAGGCAAACCAUAGGAAAUUAUGGGACGCAAAGCCGUGGCCUAAGGGAUCACUUCCUGUGAUGCUAAGGUAGACAAGGCUGCCGAG
rnacentral:ncRNA from 1 species